CGUCCCUUCCCGCAGCUGGGGUUGGCUCCCCUGUGCUGCUCCUUUGGACCGGGAAGUUGGUCUUGGCGUUGCGGCCGCUCAUCAGCACGGCAGCCUCGUCAUAUGCUCUCGCUGCCUCCUCAGCGGUCUCGAAGGGAUAGAAGGCCUUACAGGAGGGGAUGCCUGAUCUCGGAGACCCAGGAACCCCAGUGGCGCUGCCGGACUCCACGAAACUUCUUUGGCUGUACCAUUUUCUUGGAGUGGAGAUUCUCUGUCAUGGAGGACACACGAUGCAGAGAUGAGCUCUGCUGGGGCGCCUAUGAACUGAAGUGUGUGUGGCCGUGUGGGGGAGGAACGGGCUGGUUUGAGUGAAUAUAAACUGCCCAGCCUGUACUUGCUUCUGCAGUGAGUGAUAAAUGUGGUUCGCUGCGUAGGUAGUAAGAUACCUGUCAGAGAAGGAGUGGAGAAUAUGUCUGACCUAGUUUUCACUCACCAGUCACCACGUCACCAUGAUAGAAGGCGGCAUACACUGACUGGAGAGCAGGGUUGCUGGGGCCAAGAGCAGUAUACCAAGCGUGCGUCAAUGUAUAAAACUAUAUAGGGCAAAGAUGAGAGAAAUCAGGGGAGUGGCAACUGAAGGGGGGCCACAUGGUGUCUGCAGGUGUGGGCUGUCGGUGAACUGUGUGUGUGCAUAGCAUAACCACCUUCCCUGCUAGUACAGUGAGCUACUGGGGCCAAUCAUAUGGUUGAGUACCACUGGACGCAUGGACACCACCACAAAGCAUAUAGGUAAGACUUGUGCUGAAACUUAGGGUGUCGAAAUAUUUUCUGCGUAUUUUUUAGAUAACGACAUAACGUCAAAAUUCUUUUGCUUCAUUUGGAAUCUCUAGUUAUGUUGCAUCACCCAGUUUUGUUCUCUAUAAAUAAAUAUGUAAUGGGAUGUUGAAAUUUACAUGGAAUUGCUCUUUAACUGAAUAUAGACUGUUAGAGUGAUUUCUUCAGUGCGAUCUGUAAGAGAAUUGACAAGGUUGCCUUUGUCCUGGGGUGUUAGCUCUGGAAUUGCUUGGAGUUGGUUGGCAUUUAAGCUUGUCUGAGGUAGCUGCAGGUACAGGCUGGUGAUGACGAUGGUGUGUGCUCAGUUGAUCGAUAUUUGUUCGGUGAAGAAAUAUAAUACUUUUUUUUCUGACGUUAUAAUAUAGGAGUAGACUGAAUUGUUGCUUAGUGGAGAAUUUGAUAGUAUGUUUUAUAUUUGGCUUUGCAAUAUUUUCACAAUAGAAAUCAGGUUGGAAAAAGGGUAUACUGUUGGGUUAUAGUAAUCUGUAUAUAUAGCUAACUUCAUUUCUUGUCCAUUUUGAACAACUCAUGAGCUUUAAUUUGUAGAA